AUUGAACGCUGGCGGCAGGCCUAACACAUGCAAGUCGAACGAGUGGCGGACGGGUGAGUAAUGUCUGGGAAACUGCCUGAUGGAGGGGGAUAACUACUGGAAACGGUAGCUAAUACCGCAUACCCUCGGAUGUGCCCAGAUGGGAAUAGCUAGUGGGUGGGGUAAAGGCUCACCUGGGCGACGAUCCCUAGCUGGUCUGAGAGGAUGACCGGCCACCCUGGAACUGGGACACGGUCCAGACUCCUACGGGGGGCAGCAGGGGGGAAUAUUGCACAAUGGGCGCAAGCCUGAUGCAGCCACGCCGCGUGUAUGAAGAAGGCCUUCGGGUUGUAAAGUACUUUCAGCGGAGAGGCGUUACCCGCAGAAGAAGCACCGGCUAACUCCGUGCAAGCAGCCGCGUAAUAC
rnacentral:rRNA from 1 species